rnacentral:ncRNA from 1 species
AUUAAAUGAGGUGGACAAUGGCAUCCACGCACCUAUAUUGGUUAAAAGAGAUGAAAGUACAGCCAGACUUUCCAUUUAAU